GAUGAACGCUGGCGGCGUGCCUAAUACAUGCAAGUCGAGCGAACAGACGAGGAGCUUGCUCCUCUGACGUUAGCGGCGGACGGGUGAGUAACACGUGGAUAGCCUACCUAUAAGACUGGGAUAACUUCGGGAAACCGGAGCUAAUACCGGAUAAUAUAUUGAACCGCAUGGUUCAAUAGUGAAAGACGGUUUUGCUGUCACUUAUAGAUGGAUCCGCGCCGCAUUAGCUAGUUGGUAAGGUAACGGCUUACCAAGGCAACGAUGCGUAGCCGACCUGAGAGGGUGAUCGGCCACACUGGAACUGAGACACGGUCCAGACUCCUACGGGAGGCAGCAGUAGGGAAUCUUCCGCAAUGGGCGAAAGCCUGACGGAGCAACGCCGCGUGAGUGAUGAAGGUCUUCGGAUCGUAAAACUCUGUUAUUAGGGAAGAACAAAUGUGUAAGUAACUAUGCAGGUCUUGACGGUACCUAAUCAGAAAGCCACGGCUAACUACGUG
rnacentral:rRNA from 1 species